rnacentral:rRNA from 1 species
UACGGAGGGAGCUAGCGUUGUUCGGAAUUACUGGGCGUAAAGCGUACGUAGGCGGAUGUGUAAGUCAGAGGUGAAAGCCUGGAGCUCAACUCUAGAACUGCCUUUGAGACUGCAUCGCUUGAAUCCGGGAGAGGUGAGUGGAAUUCCGAGUGUAGAGGUGAAAUUCGUAGAUAUUCGGAAGAACACCAGUGGCGAAGGCGGCUCGCUGGACCGGUAUUGACGCUGAGGUGCGAAAGCGUGGGGAGCAAACAGG